GAUGAACGCUGGCGGCGUGCCUAAUACAUGCAAGUCGAGCGAACAGACGAGGUGCUUGUUCCACUGACAUUAGCGGCGAACGGGUGAGUAACACGUGGAUAACCUACCUAUAAGACUGGGAUAACUUCGGGAAACCGGAGCUAAUACCGGAUAAUAUAUUUAAACACAUGGUUCAAUAUUGAAAGACGGUAUUGCUGCACCUUAUGAUUGUCUCCCCGUGUCAUUAGUAAGUUGUUAGGGUAAGGGCUUACCAAGCGAAGGUUGCGUAGCCACCCUGGAGGGGGGAUCGGCCACACUGGAACUGAGCCACGGUCCAGACUCCUACGGGAGGCAGCAGAAGGGAAUCUUCCGCAAUGGGCGAAAGCCUGACGGAGCAACGCGGCGGGAUGGAUGAAGGUCUUCGGAUCGUAAAACUCGGUUAUUAGGGAAGACCAAAUGUGUAAGUAAAUAUGCACGUCUUGACGGUACCUAAUCAGAAAGCCACGGCUAACUACGUG
rnacentral:rRNA from 1 species